rnacentral:rRNA from 1 species
CUUGAUCCUCUUCUGAAAGACUAAGCCAUGCAAGUGAAAGUUCAUUCAGUUAAUUGAGAGACUGCGGACGGCUCAGUAAAUGAUUUGUGAUCUAUCUGACUAGUAAUUUGUUGGAUAACCGUGGGAAAUCUAGAGCUAAUACAUGUUUGAGAAGCAUUUGUUAGAUAACCAAUGAAGGUGAAUCUAGAUAACUUUGCAGAUCGCGUAGAAAUAUGCGACAAGGCAGUUGAACGUAUCCCCUAUCAACUUGUUGGUAAGGUAGUGGCUUACCAAGGUUGCAACGGGUAACGGGGAAUCAGGGUUCGAUUCCGGAGAGGGAGCCUGAGAAACGGCUACCACAUCCAAGGAAGGCAGCAGGCGCGCAAAUUACCCAAUCCAGACAAUGGGAGGUGGUAAACAGAAGUACUGGGUAUUUUACCCGGAAUGAGCAUAGAGUAAAGAUCGUGUCAAAUACAACUGGAGGGCAAGUCUGGUGCCAGCAGCCGCGGUAAUUCCAGCUCCAGUAGGAUGAAGCAACGUUGUUGCGUUUAAAACGCUCGUAGUUGGAUUGUUAGGGUAAGGUGUGGCCUUGAAUGAGUCAAUACAAUCUUACAAUAUGUGCCUUGAGUCAAUCAAAGUGCUUAAAGCAGACGAAUAACGUCUAAAUGAUAUAGCAUGGAACGAACAUGAGUCAUGAAUGAGUUGUUGGUUAUUCAUUUGUGAUGUUUUAAAGCGAGCGGUUGGGGGCAUUGGUAUUCGGAUUCGAGAGGUGAAAUUCUUAGACAAUCCGAGGACUAACAAAAGCCAAGGCAUUUGCCAAGACCGUUUCGAUCAAUCAAUGAACGAAAGAGAAAGGUUCAAUGGAGAUCAGAUACCUCCGUAGUUUUCUCUAUGAACUAUGCCGACCCGGGAUCAGUUUAUAACGCUGUAAUCUGUGUAGGUUGGUCCCCCUGAGAAAUCACAAGUGUUUAGGUUACGGGGGGAGUAUGGUCGCAAGGCUGAAACUUAAAGGAAUUGACGGAAGGGCACCACCAGGGGUGGAGCCUGCGGCUUAAUUUGACUCAACACGGGAAAACUCACCGGUUCAGGACGUUAAUAUGAUAGAAACAGACUGAUAGAUCUUUCUUGAUAUAAUGUGUGGUGGUGCAUGGCCGUUGUUAGUACGUGUUCUGAAAUGUCUGGUUAAUUCCGCUAUAACGUACGAGACCAARUUGUAUUUUUCKSGRUGAAUAUACAGAUACUCAGUGUAAAAUUGAGUGAAAAUUGGCAAUAACAGGUCUGUGAUGCCCUUAGAUGUACCGGGCUGCACGCGCGCUACAAUGGAAAUGACAGAGCGUUUCUAGUCUGAAAAGACUGGAUAAUCGUAAAUAAUUUCCGUGAUGGGGAUUGUCGAUUGUAAUUUCGACAUGAAAUAGGAAUCCCUUGUACCUGCACUUCAUUAAGAGUGCAAGGAAUCAGUCCCUGCCUUUUGUACACACUGCCCGUCGCUACUACCGAGUGAAUGAUGUCGUGAUAGCAUUUGCUGGCUGCGAAUGUAAAUUUGUGACAGAAAUGUUAGAACGAUGUCGUUUCGAGGAAGUAAUAGUCGUAACAAGGUAUC